CAAGAGUCCAUGAGCUGCGUCGACCACACUUCCUCGCCCCCUUUCUGCAUCAUGCUUCUCCAUAAAUUGCAGCGGCGCUCUGUCCCUUUAUGCUCCUCACACACACACAUAACUGCACAUGAAGUGUGGUACCCCCAAACUCCGAUUUCUUAUGGGUCCAUCGUUGUUUUUGUCAGCCAAUGGGUUGCAUGAACAAACUGGCUGAACCCCACCUCGUAUUCGGGUGACCACUGUACGCAACCUAGUAUGAUUAAGGUUAAGCGGGCCAACAGGGUGGCCUAUAUAUUCAUUCAGCUUUCGACCAUUGUUACUAUCAAAUUACGAAAUAGAAAUGCUUUUUUCUGAUGCAGCAACACAACCACAUUCCUACCCCUUAUUUAUCUCGUUUCGCUUGUAACAACCUUUUACAGUGGGACAAAAAUCAAGACAAAACUAGAACUUGACUAACUGGAUCUAGUUUUGCUGGGAUGGAUGUGUGUGGAAUGCUUUUGCACAGCAUUCUGGGAUUUGAAGUCUUUUCCUCGCCUGUAUCUCUUGUCACAUGAGCGUCCAGAACAUGCUGGAAGACUAAUGCUUCUUUUAUUGCAGAGUGUCCUCACAACCCUCGAUUUCCUGUUCCACGGGGGUCUUCGACUUUGUUCAGUGUCUGUUCAUUUGGGAGCUGUGUUAUUUUUCUUAUUACACGUUUGCAGGAAGUCCCUCCCUUCUAGCUCAUGUUAGAUUUGUGGACUAUUUUUGUGCAAAUGAAUUGAGCGGUGACUUUUAAGGAUGGGUUAGGUUGUGGUCCACCUGCAUUUGGAGGGGAGGUAUGCACUAAAUCAAGAGUUACCUCACAAUGUGAGUUAUGGAAGGUAAAGGAAAGUUUGCACUAGAGGAGACGCUGUCUAUCUGUACCUAUUCAGAUGGCAGCGUGUCAGUGAACUGGAAGCCUAGAGGAGGAAGAUAGAGACGAUAGUGGUAUAGCUGGAUGGAAAUAAUUGCUUUCAGGAAAGAUAAAGUCUUUAGUGUUUGAUAUCAGAGAGGCCGAUUUUAUGCUGAAUAUGAGCUUGCAGUUUGUGGCUUUUUCAAGACUAACUAAAUAUCUGUACUUCUGAGUUGACCUCGGAAGGAUGACAUUGUUUAUAAAAUCCCCAAAGUUUUAAAAAGAAAGAUUAGCGGAAGAAAACGCGGACAUGGAAACAGGAAAGUUAACGUUGGUGGCUUGUGACUAGACUUUUCCCUUUGUCGGCUCUUGGAGCACAACACUACCACCCAGUGGACAAAGCAGGUAUUGCAUCGUAAAUCUCAGCUCGUUUUCGUUCUAAUGCUACAUUUUUGUUUGUUUUACUAGAAAAUGCUGGAUGCAUUUAAAGUCACAGAUUCACUAUGUAGCAAAAGAAAGACUAAAAAAAAGCAGAAAUCAGUUGGCAUUCAAGGAAUGGUUUCUAACAAUAUUCCUCUGCACUUAUACCUUGUUUACUCGCUCCAAAUUAGAUCAUUUUCUAUGACUUUUGUGUUGAUUUGAACAUGGUUUUCAAGUGGAACAGACAUUGUGAAACUGUGAAUCAGUCACGUUUAUGGAGAUAAACGAAUGUAUCCCACUACAGAUUUCACUUCAUUUUUGUGCAUAUCUCUCCCUGUAAUACAUGUUAACUCUCACCAACCAGUAAGUGAACCACAACUGCCCUGACCCCUUUUAACUUGUCAGUCAACAUCUACGCUGACUUCUGAUUGGCUGUGAUGAGAAACUCUGCUUAAACACUACAUCUUUUGCCCUCAGAGAGCAGAAGUAACGGUAUAUUUUGGGAAAUCGGGAGCUGUGUGGCCUAUACGCCCCUGGUACUUUGUGUAUGAAUGCUGCAUUCUCUGUGUAUUUUCAAUGUAUAUUCUUUCAGAGGCAACUGUCCUUCGCAGCCAAAGACUGCAAAAAAAAAAGAAAAAAGAAAAAAAAAAGAUGAAUAAAAAAGGGCAGGGGAGACCUGAAAAACGAAAAGCGACAUGACAAACGUGUAUUAAAAAUGUGAUAUUGGUUCAGCAAUCAGAUUUGGCUGCAUCACUUUAUUUUUUGUUUCAUGUUAUUUUUUCAACAAUGGUGACAGAUUGUCUGUUAAGUUAAAGGAGAAAGGAGCAAAACUAUAUUCAGAAUGGUUUAUUUGUACGUUAGGGGGUCUGACACUUUGCCCUAUAGUCAAUGGUGAUAGAAAAGAUUUUCUUUUUAUGUUUUCUUUUAAUAAUUAAAAAAUGAGACAAAACAUUUUUUAACCGUUUUUUUUUUUUUUUGUGAAUGGUGUAAAGGCCACAAUGAUGUAGUGCAUGAUUCAAGACCAGGUCAGGGAGAGGGCUCUACCACUCUCAGUAUUAUAAAAGGAAGAAAAAAAUGAACAAAGAAAAAAAAAUAGAAUUGAAAAAAUAAUGAAAUAAAUGAAGUUAGAUCAACAACAAAAAAACGUCAUUAUUUGCCAAGGAGUUGGUAAUUGGUCUCAAUGGGAAUGGUGUAUAAACAGUAAAGGCCUUCUGUGACCUGUAUUAUAGUUAAUAAAUCAAUCUUGUAAAA